AGCACGACCAAAUUCUGAAGAAAAUGCAUCCAAUUCAACAAAAAAAUUGUUGGCAAGAAAUCAUCACUGCCAUCAGUUGACAUGAGACACUUGGAGGAAGCACAUUCUGAAGAAAAGGCAUCUACUUUAACAAAGAAAAUUUGUGGCACAAAGAAACCCUCAUUGCCAUCAGUUCAAAACGUACACUCAGAGGAAGAACCUCCUGAAGAAGGGGCAGCUAUUUCUAAAAACAAAAUGGGUGGC